rnacentral:rRNA from 1 species
UACAGAGGGUGCGAGCGUUGUUCGGAAUUACUGGGCGUAAAGAGUGUGUAGGCGGUGUUCUAAGUCUGUCGUGAAAUCUCCCGGCUUAACUGGGAGGGUGCGGCGGAAACUGGAGUGCUAGAGGGUGGGAGAGGAAAGCGGAAUUCCUGGUGUAGCGGUGAAAUGCGUAGAUAUCAGGAGGAACACCUGCGGUGUAGACAGCUUUCUGGACCACUUCUGACGCUGAGACACGAAAGCGUGGGUAGCAAACAGG